rnacentral:rRNA from 1 species
CAGUCGCCACGGGAAUACGUAGGGUGCAAGCGUUAAUCGGAAUUACUGGGCGUAAAGCGUGCGCAGGCGGUUUUGUAAGUCUGUCGUGAAAUCCCCGGGCUCAACCUGGGAAUGGCGAUGGAGACUGCAAGACUAGAAUCUGGCAGAGGGGGGUAGAAUUCCACGUGUAGCAGUGAAAUGCGUAGAUAUGUGGAGGAACACCGAUGGCGAAGGCAGCCCCCUGGGCUAAGAUUGACGCUCAUGCACGAAAGCGUGGGAAGCAAACAGGAUUAGAUACCCCAGUAGUCCCUGUCUCUUAUAC